UUUAUAGGCCCCCCCCCCCCCCCCCCUAACACAGGCCUUGAAAACCAAUUAUAGCCAACCAAUUAUAGCCAAACAAUUAAGGUUCUCUCUAAUGGGUAGGCAAAAUGGUGAUGCAACUGUGGCUAGUUCUUCAAUAGCACUUCUCCAAGAAAGGUUUAGGAAACUGCAAAGAAUAAGGGAAAAGAGACAGGAGAAAGAACUUCUGAAGCUGUUUUCAGAAUCUGAAAGGAGUGCUGCUCCUGCAGGUAUGCAUUUUGAUCCUAGCAAGAUGACCUUCCACCAACCUGAGAUGAUCCUUCCAAAUAGAGCACCUCCCCUUCAAGAUUCUCAUCUCUCCCUUAGACUCAAUUCACAAAGUAGCAACAAUCAUGCUGAUAUUAUCAAGACUCCAACAAGCUUAUGGCCCAACGCUGGAAGCUCAUCAAGGAGUUUUGAAAAUUCUGAUGUUGAUACCUCUCUUCAUCUCUAAACACCAGAGAGACCUGUAUGGUUAAUUUCCUGUAAUUUUGAAUAUCUAUAUUUCUAUAUAUAUAUUAUAUGUAUGUUUGUUAUAUUAAUUUUGUCACAACCUUUUUGGAUGUAUAAAAACUUAGAAGAGUAAUGUAACUAUGUUUUCUUCAUAUAUCCAUGAACAAUUUCAUGCUCAAAA
rnacentral:misc_RNA from 1 species